rnacentral:rRNA from 1 species
AGUGAACGCUGGCGGUAGGCCUAACACAUGCAAGUCGAACGGCAGCACAGUAAGAGCUUGCUCUUACGGGUGGCGAGUGGCGGACGGGUGAGGAAUACAUCGGAAUCUACUUUUUCGUGGGGGAUAACGUAGGGAAACUUACGCUAAUACCGCAUACGACCUACGGGUGAAAGCAGGGGAUCUUCGGACCUUGCGCGAUUGAAUGAGCCGGUGUCGGAUUAGCUAGUUGGCGGGGUAAAGGACCACCAAGGCGACGAUCCGUAGCUGGUCUGAGAGGAUGAUCAGCCACACUGGAACUGAGACACGGUCCAGACUCCUACGGGAGGCAGCAGUGGGGAAUAUUGGACAAUGGGCGCAAGCCUGAUCCAGCCAUACCGCGUGGGUGAAGAAGGCCUUCGGGUUGUAAAGCCCUUUUGUUGGGAAAGAAAAGCAGCAGGUUAAUACCCCGCUGUUCUGACGGUACCCAAAGAAUAAGCACCGGCUAACUUCGUG